CCUACGGGUGGCAGCAGUAGGGAAUAUUGCUCAAUGGGGGAAACCCUGAAGCAGCAACGCCGCGUGGAGGAUGAAGGUUUUCGGAUUGUAAACUCCUUUUGUUAGAGAAGAUAAUGACGGUAUCUAACGAAUAAGCACCGGCCAACCCCGUGCCAGCAGCCGCGGUAAUACGGAGGGUGCAAGCGUUACUCGGAAUCACUGGGCGUAAAGAGAGCGUAGGCGGGAUAGCAAGUCAGAUGUGAAAUCCUAUGGGUUAACCAUAGAACAGCAGUUGAAACUGUUAGUCUAGAGUAUGGGAGAGGUAGGUGGAAUUCUUGGUGUAGGGGUAAAAUCCGUAGAGAUUGAGAGGAAUACUGAUUGCGAAGGCGACCUGCUGGAACAUAACUGACGCUGAUGCGCGAAAGCGUGGGGAGCAAACAGGAUUAGAUACCCCUGUAGUC
rnacentral:rRNA from 1 species